rnacentral:rRNA from 1 species
UACGUAGGGUGCAAGCGUUGUCCGGAAUUAUUGGGCGUAAAGAGCUCGUAGGUGGCCUGUCGCGUCGGCUGUGAAAACUCGGGGCUCAACUCCGAGCUUGCAGUCGAUACGGGCAGGCUAGAGUUCGGCAGGGGAGACUGGAAUUCCUGGUGUAGCGGUGAAAUGCGCAGAUAUCAGGAGGAACACCGGUGGCGAAGGCGGCACUCUGGGACGGUACUGACGCUGAGACGCGAAAGCGUGGGGAGCAAACAGG